UAUUGGCAACAGGAGAUGUUCGUGGAUUUUGAUGAUAUGGAUUUUAGAUGACUUCGAGACAUGUACAGGUAAGGUUUUCUCCCGUCUCAUAAAGUAGUCGAUCGUUUAUGAAUAAUAUGAGUUUUUAUUUUCAAAUCGAUACUGGACACUGUAUGUCCUAUUAAACCAGUUUGACGUUCAAAUCAUUUAAUCGAAAUCUGCAGCUUUAUAAAGUUAGUUUUCAUUGUGAUAUUCGUUUGAAAUUCGCCUGUGGUGGAAAGAGGUCAUGUAAAAGUCGCGCAUUUACCAUGUUUUUACCAUAGUAACAUGUCGCUGAACCAUGUCACGUGUUAUAAAACCUCAGUAACCACAACUCAAUGUAUCUCCCGUCAUAACUGUAGUUUUACUUUGGUAUUUGUAGUAUAAACACGUUACCAUGCUUUUCACCACAGUAACUGUGCUUAUUGUGUACUCUUUAGUUAAGUAACACAUUUGCCAUGCCUUUAAUACCUUUUUGUAAUGUAAUUGUGAUUCAGUGUUUUUUUUCUUUUCAGUUUUGCAGUUUCUUCAUAUCACAUACAUCUCCAGCUUCUACAACAACAUUCAGUGUCCAGCAGCUCUUUAUGAUGCUCUCUCUCUCUCUCUCUCUCUCUCUUUCUCUCUCACUCUCUCUCUCUCUCUCUCUCUCUCUCAUUUUCCUUUCCUAUUUUUCUGAACUGUAAUUCAUAAAUAAGUCACACAUAUUUUUCUUUCUUUCUCUUGUUCAUCAUGGCAUAUUUUCACAGCUCAGAAUCAGAUUUUGAUCAGUUCUUGUAUUAACAGGGAACUUGUACUCGAAGCUCAACUUGAAGAAGUUUCCAGUGAAGAUGAAGUCCUUCAAAGGUUCGACACAGCUGAAAAGGAAGACCAUGGGCCUGUCAAACCUUGUUUGUGGAGAGGGAUGAAUUUGACCAUCUUGUGUGUUUACGGAGAAGACCAAAAGCUGCUAAGGCAGAUAUUUCCAGAGGUACAAACAGAGCGGAUGGUUGCAUGAUGGCCUCUUUCAGGUUUGUCAACUGAAUGUCUACUAGUGUGGCUCAGCAAGUUCCUGUCAUGAUCAGCCCUCUCCAAGAAAGCUGAAGAGCAAAAACACAAAGAACAUCAGUCCUGUUGGGGAUGAGGAAUGAACAUGGCUCUAUUGUGCCCAAACAGAAAAGAGUGAAAAGUCCUAGAAUGAACAAAUCAUCAGGGCAUCAUUUCUGGAAUUUGGGCAGAAAAUGACUGAAUAUGAAAGACUGCAGUAGAAGGAAAGCUGGUACUGAGAACAUUUGUCUUCACUCCAGACUAAAGAGAAGCGGGUCUGAGGCCAGAGAUGGAGGAGUCAAUGGUCACCAAAUGCAGCGCUGCAGCCUGAAACUGUGAAGACUGAAUUCCCAAACAGCUGUGUGACUGCACAGAUGUUACGGCCAUAAAAGAAACUUCACAACUGAGAGCCCAUACCUCCAACAACCUUCAACAGGAAUCAAUGGACAUCUACGCAAGGUUUUUCUUUUGUUGAGGACCGUCAGAAACUCCAGCCACACGAGCCAUGGAUUGCUCUCAACAUCACCAUCAGACAGACAUUAUCACAGAACCAGCACCAGCAGACUGCAAAACAAGUUCCUUCAACAGGCAAUCAGACUGAACUGAACUCGUACCAGUAACACCACACACACACACACACACACACACACACACAUACACACACCAGCAGCCUCAUACUGUGUGCACUGCACUCUAUCAGCUACACUGACUGGACUCUGACUCACUAUUAUUCUGCAACCUGAUAUUCUGUUUGCACUAAUUCAUACUGUACUGAAAGUGAAAGUGACGUGACAUACAGUCAAGUAUGGUGACCCAUACUCAGAAUUUGUGCUCUGCAUUUAACCCAUCCGAAGUGCACACACACAGAGCAGUGAACACACACACACUGUGAACACACACCCGGAGCAGUGGGCAGAGGUAUAUCUACAGUAUACAGUGAUUGUUGUUAAUUGUUUUCAUUUUGUUCUCUCUGUAUAGUAUAGUAUUGCACUAUAUUUUCUACCUGUAUUGAGCUCUUAUGUAUACGGUUUAUAUUUUUGAUACUGUAUAUGUGUUGCAAAUAUAUUCAGUACUUGUCAUGCUGCAGUUUGCAGAAAAGCAUUUUACCACCUGUAUACUUGCAUUCAUGGUAUUGUGAUAAUAAAAUGAUUUGAUUUGAA